UACGUAGGGUGCAAGCGUUGUCCGGAAUUAUUGGGCGUAAAGCGUGCGCAGGCGGUCUUUUAAGUCAGAUGUGAAAUCCCCCAGGCUUAACCUGGGAACUGCGUGUGAUACUGGAUGGCUUGAAUUCGGGGAGAGGGAUGCAGAAUUCCAGGUGUAGCGGUGAAAUGCGUAGAUAUCUGGAGGAAUACCGGUGGCGAAGGCGGCAUCCUGGACCGACAUUGACGCUGAACGGCGAAAGCUAGGGGAGCGAAACAGGG
rnacentral:rRNA from 1 species